CAGCCGCCGCGGGAACACGGAGGGUGCAAGCGUUAUCCGGAUUUAUUGGGUUUAAAGGGUCCGUAGGCGGAUCUGUAAGUCAGUGGUGAAAUCUCACAGCUUAACUGUGAAACUGCCAUUGAUACUGCAGGUCUUGAGUAAAUUUGAAGUGGCUGGAAUAAGUAGUGUAGCGGUGAAAUGCAUAGAUAUUACUUAGAACACCAAUUGCGAAGGCAGGUCACUAAGAUUUAACUGACGCUGAUGGACGAAAGCGUGGGGAGCGAACAGGAUUAGAUACCCCAGUAGUCCCUGUCUCUUAUAC
rnacentral:rRNA from 1 species